rnacentral:rRNA from 1 species
UUGAUCCUGGCUCAGAAUCAACGCUGGCGGCGUGCCUAACACAUGCAAGUCGAACGCGAAAGUCCCGCAAGGGAUAAGUAGAGUGGCAAACGGGUGAGUUACGCGUGGGUGACCUGCCUUCGAGUGGGGGAUAACGUUCCGAAAGGGACUCUAAUACCGCAUGACAUCCUGCCUUUGAAGAGGUGGAGAUCAAAGCCGGUGAUCGCAAGACCUGGCGCUUGAUGAGGGGCCCGCGUCUGAUUAGCUAGUUGGUGGGGUAAUGGCUCACCAAGGCAACGAUCAGUAUCCGGCCUGAGAGGUCGGACGGACACACUGGGACUGAGACACGGCCCAGACUCCUACGGGAGGCUGCAGUGGGGAAUUGUUCGCAAUGGGCGCAAGCCUGACGACGCAACGCCGUGUGGAGGAUGAAGACCUUCGGGUCGUAAACUCCUUUCGAUCGAGACGAAUGGCUUCCGGGUGAACAAUCCGGAAGAGUGACGGUACCGAGAGAAGAAGCUCCGGCUAACUCCGUGCCAGCAGCCGCGGUAAUAAGGU